rnacentral:lncRNA from 1 species
UGACCUUCUUUCUCGCGUCUCGGGAAAAGAAGAGCCAAGAACAAGAUUAUGCGUAUUAGAGACGUGAGACGUCGCGUCGAAAUGCGACGCCGUUUCUAUGGCAUCGUCAUUAAGGAUGAUUAAUCAAUUGGACCAUAUACUCGUAUAUUAUUGGUCAGCCUAUAUCUGUAUCGUGAAAUACGCGUCGUUUCUAAAGAAAUCUUAUUUGCGGAAGCACAAGGUGCAGAACUCGACGUGGCAUAUUGUAUUGUAUUUCGUCCGUCGUUCCAUCGCGCCUCGCUACAAGAAGGUUUAACAUUACAAAGAGGAUUCACAGAAGAUACAUUUUAUACCGAACGUCUCAUUCAAGAGAUAAACGACACAUGAGACUCGGACGACGCAGAAACAAAAUCAAACGUGAGAUUAAAGUGUCCAUUAUUUUCGUUAUUUAAUACGAUCAUUCGUGAAUUACUGAUGGCACAAAGACACACUUUAAUCAUGAGAUAAACUCAUGGACGAGCCCAUAUUAGUGGAGUAACAAAAAUAACGUUAUCUGACGUGAGUCACACGACAAUGCCGACAAGAGUUUCGUCCCGUAAGCUGCACUUGCAAAACUCAGCGAAUAUAUGCAGAUAUAUCAUAUUAGCUGUACGGUAUAUCGGCUGUACCGUUACGCUUCGCAAUGUUCCAAUCUCUGUGAGAUAUUUGUUUUGCAGAAAAUGACGGUAAACGCGUUUAUCGUCGCAGAGACGAGCGUAUUUUUUGCGACGUGUAAUCGAUUUUUCUAGCGACAAUUGUAAUUGAAAUUUAGCAACAAGGUAACGUAUGCAACGACCUUGAUUGACAGAUACUGAUAGAUAUUGAGCGUUGUGUCACCGACAUGCGACCUAAUGCACGACUGCUACCGCUUUUGUCUGUUUGAUGCGAGACACGAUUUUUGUCACGAUUUCACGUGCCCUCGUACCGUUAUCUGUCGGUCGGCGUAGUUUCCAUCCGAUACUUUUGUAGCAGAACCUGUGUAGCGCGAACCAACAAGCGAACUUGUUUACGCAUACAGCCUGCCGCGUAUUACAAUCAUACAUGUAUAAUAAAUAUCAAAGGAAUAUCAAUUCUCUCAAUCCAUUUAAUUCGUCAAUGAUUCAAAGAAUCAUGUUCUUUUUUAACGCUACGCUAAUUAAAUAUAAAUCUGUAUUCAAACAUAUCAAUAUUACAUUAUUAUACAAAUCUCUAACACUGGAUCUCCAAAUGCGAACGGACCCGGACAUGUCGCUUCCGAAAUAGACGGUCCUCUCUCGGGUUUAUUAAUAGUCGAGCAGAUGAUGCGAAUGUGCCGUUGCAUUGCUAUUAUUCUGCCACUACUAUGGCCCCAUUUCGUCACUUGCUAGUUCACAUUGUACUCUGAGAGAAGCAUUGUUGUGGAGAUAACGUGGAUAAUGUAGAAAAAAUUAUAUUUAUUUCGUUAUCCGCGUAAGUGAAAAGUUUCUUCCGAAAUGAUUAGAUUUCAACUGAAAUCUCGUGAAAAUAACGUGGAUUAAUAAUUCAGGUAAAGCGACUUUGAAUGUAAAGUCCAACUCCUCCACUCUUCGAACGUGAACCAAUCUCAUUAACAUUGAACGUCAUGGAAUUUCUACGUUGAACGGUACGCUGAACCUCGGUGGUAGUCUCGCGUGAACGUGAAAUCUGUGUCGAAGACGCGUCGAGGAGACGCGACAGCGUGCGAUAAUGACCCGUUAACGAAAAUGACGAAACUUUUCCACGGUGGGGCAUCACGGUGGGAUGUCGCGAACGAACCAACGGAACAGCAUCUUUUUCUCUGGUCGGUGGCCAUGUCGAGCGCGGAACCAGUCGCGGAGACCACCAGGAAGGAACGAGAAGAGUCGGAAUGUUGGCGCGGGGUUCGGACAUCAACCUCUCUCGGGCAGUCGGCCCGUCGUUCGCCGUUCGCCACGAGCGGCCAAUCCGGCGCCCAUCGGCAAACGGUAAUUCGUGCCCGUAUGUACGCACACACGACCCACGCAUCUUGUGGAUGAACUUCUUUUCUCGCUCUCUGGUAAAGUACUUGAAUCAAAUCAACAACAGCACAGAGAGAUACUUUCUUGAGAGCACCUGUGUGCUUUUUAAGUAUACUUGGACGUUGAAAAUACUUGUAAAAUAUAUAUAUAUAUAUAUAUAUAUAUACUGGCGCAACCGCCAAGCAUCCUGCGUUCCCUAUCCGGAAUUAUAUCCGGCCUACGGACAAUGAUCGGGUGGCGUUACAGUUUGUUGCAUCGUCGUAAAAGCCGCUGUUCACGUUACGCCUUAAUGGUAUCACUACCAUGCUGUUCGCUAAUUAUAUUUAGCCAAGCGCGCGCGGGGGGGCGUGCGAGCCCGAUAUUGUGGGUCAUACGCGGCAGUUUUACGACCACUCUGUACACCGUUAGAAAAAAGAAAACGGUGCGAAGGAAUACAACGUUUAUGCGGGGCGGUUGUCGGCCGAUUGCCGGCCGGUUGCGUCGCUCGACAUGCGUCCAAUAUAAUAUCGUGAUACGUGCAUCAUUUAUUGUAUCGUGAUUACGUGAUUAAGAGAAACGGAGAUAAUGUAUGGCAGUUAAUGGAAAUGGAAAAGUAAUUUUCUUUAGCAAAAACUUGUGAAUUUUUAACAUCAGAUAUCUUAAUAAUUAAUCUUCAAAUAAAAGUUGUGUAAAAUGUGCUAUUAUACGAUAGCGGAAAGCGAUCUGAUCACAUACUUCGAUCAUGCGAGUCUUACAACCGUUAUCGUACGUAACGUGCAUGUUUUUUCUUUUUUCUUUGUUGCUGAUCGGAGCCGAGAGUAUGCCGUUGCAAGAUCGAUAAAGAGCGAAAUAAACGGAGAGAAAAAAAAGGACGGAAACGAGAGAAGGAAAGAGCGAGAAGUGAACGGCAUCUGAACUCUGGUAUCCAGAUCACGACUCGUACGGCAAUUUUACGUUUCACGAGAACCGAACUAUCGGUCGAAACGGAUGAAAUCUCGCCAAAUCGAUUUCGCGUGAAAGAGAGAUACACGCAGAAUUAUGUGUUAAUUUGCAAACGCAUAGCGAUAAAUGAUAAAAUCAAAGUUGCAGUUGCAUAGAUACACGAGACACGGUUGACGAUAGCAUGACUAUAUCUAUUUAGUAAAGAUGAAAGAAAAGUUUGUACGACUCUGUGCAAGUACCCCCGAUUUAUAUCGUAUCAAUGUUGUCUUUCAAUGUUUCUUAACGUCAAUUUAGUGGAUUUUCGUUGCAAUUCGUUAUAACGGUAUUUCUGGCAAGACACUUUGCGAGCUCUCGGGCUGCUCUAAAUUUACUCGAUGCAGCAACUGUGUUGUACGCGCCGAGACCGCGGUUGCCAUUGCAACGUUGUUGGCGGUGCACCAGACGCCUAUGGAAGCUUCAACAAAUCCGUCAAGCAAGUUGUGGAGAAACAUGAGCUUCCAAUUUAUCAGACGCGACGCUAUCGUAGAAAAACACUGCCACACAAAUACAUUACGAUAAAAGUCUCGACAAACGAGAAAUAAUCUCACCUCACGAUGGGAUAUCGUGUUCUCCAUUAAUGAAUACUGCGUGCUUUCCUUGAGAUGUUUUCAACGCAUCUUUCGAGCAUUUAUGCUCUACAUUAUCCAAUGCGUGAGAUUGAUUUCAUAAUGUUAAUAAUGUAAUCAUGAAUAACCUGAUAAUGAUAAAUUACUUGCUUUUAAUAUCUACGAGUGUACGAGAUGAGAGUACGGAGAUACAUGUGCACCUCGUUACCGUCCUUGCGAGGGAGGAGCUGCAUUCAUACGGUCCCUCCUUUCUUUCUCGUCCGGUUCAGGCAUCUCGGCAAUCGGUUGCAGGCUGGUCGAGCUAACGGAAUCACUCGGAGCCAGAGUCGGAUGAAGAGAGAGUAAGCAGAGAGAAAGACAUACCGAAACAGCUGAUCGAUUGCUUGGCCUCUUAAGAAGCGGAGGGAUGCUUAAAUUUAAUAUGACAUCGGGAUACUGUCGUUUAGUUCCUAUCUGACAUCACGAAUGCCACGAUCAAUCACUUGAAGAGAUUGCUGUUCGCAAAAAUAUUGGAAUGAAUAGCCAUUCUAUCUGGGCUUAAACGCGCGCAUCGGAGAUUUCACAGCUCACUGCCUUUUACAUAUAAUUAUGGCGAGUGAGUCCUCGGAACGCGACUUGGACAAUGAGAAUGGGUGGCGUGCGCUCGUUGACGCAGCGGCGAAGUUGCGAGGUGCACUGGCACGCGCAAUGCACAUUACGACAUUGCACAGGGUAGGUCAAAUGACCUUACCUGUUAUGUUCACAUGUUAGGUGCACAUGAGGAGAUUCACACUUGUCCCAUUGAUAUCAAGCUGCUCCAUCUUGCUGAUGAUCCUGGCACUAAGUAAAUUUCCUUGAACACGAGUAAAUGGAACGGAGAUGAAAAGCGUAGCUGAUUAUCCGUUAACAUUAAUUUAGUAAUUCGAAAAAUCUGAUUUCAAGCCUCCCCUGACAACCGAGAUUGACAAAUUCGAGAGAGUGCAGGACUUUUCCUUUUCGGUAUACACUCAUGUGUGUUUGUAACACCGACUAUACCAUCGACGAUGCCACCAACGCAUCGUAUGCUAAUUGGGCAGGUAUUAGAUGAGCGCCAUAUUAGGUACGAUGAAGUCGCGAGAUGAUGCUUACGAAAUCACCGUGCGGACGACUGGUACUUAUAUGGUCUCCGAAUUGUGGCACAAGUAUUUACGGACUCUUUAUAGUAGCCUCGCGUGUACGCUAAGCAGCUUGCGACUUACAAGUUGCAUUAUGGUAAUUUGCGAUUACGCGCGCGUUAAUAGCCGUGUGCUUAUAACGCGUACGUAACGUAAUAAUUAACCAUUUUACAAUCACAGACUGCCCUACUUAACAAUCACUAAUUAUCAACAAAGAUAAAUAGAUGCGCUAUAAACAUCGCGCUAAAUCAAGAGCUUGAAACCAAACGUUAACGACAGUCGCAGAAGUUAAAUACAGCUUGUGUAAGUAAUGUAACUUAAUGUUGGAAUUAUUAUCAAUCGGUAAAACAAGAUUGCUCCCAACGAUUCGAGUUACCGCAAAGCUCGAUUUGCACUAGUUAAUUACGGAUGAUGGCGCUCCAUCUGAAAUCGCGUAAACAACUGAGGAUUAGCGGAUCGUGCCUGCUUAGGAAAAUUAAAUGAUUCAUGAGAUACCUAAGAUUAGUGCAAAGCCAGUUUCUAAUAAUGCGAAUAUAUCCUACAACAACGUGCGAAGAAUCGUGUAACAAAUUUUGCCUGGUUAAUAAAACGUUCAUUCUCAAGUUUCUGAACAGCUUUUAUUUAGCUAUAUUAUUUCCAAGAGAUCCACAGUCUCGCAUUCGACACUUGCGCACCUGAAUCGAGCGUGCUGACACGUGAUAACAACUGUGUGUUAACAUCAAGAGAGCUACGGAUGCGCAGGCCAACUCAAUUAGCACGUUUGAUUACGUUGCUGCGAAUAGCGGCAGUAAUAAAUUGAGUCACAAUGAGAUACGUAAUAGGUAUUCCUUCCAUUCCGACCAUACAUAAUCCGAAAUAGCUGAUGUACUCUCAUUUCUUUCGUUUUAAUUUACAAGAUAAUAAAAGACUUGCAAUAACGUUUUGCAGAAUGAUUCAACGAUAGUGAUGGCACAACGCUUUGCACGUUUGCUUCCAAGGAUAAUACAUUUCGUGCGAAAUUUCACGCAUCAUUGUGCACGACUCGCGGUUCGAAUUGGUUGAUUCGCACCGACUCGCGCCGCAUGCAAGCACUCGAGCCCUCCGCUGAUUUGCUUAACGCGGCUUAACCGCGGUAAAAAGCGGCCUUGACAGCUCGUGCUGCAUGCUGGGCGCAUGAAGGGUUAAGCACGUCGAACUCCAUUGUCGCGAGUACACGUUGAUCAAACUGAAUUGCCUUGACGAUGCGGCGCAGAGCGUAAUCGUGCGGCAACCGCGGCGAAGGUCGACGCAAUUAUGCGCUCUAUCCGCGAAACGAAUUAUCCGGCAUCUCUCUCAACUGAUCCGGUUAACAUAUCGAUAAACGUACCAUAAGCUGUCCACCUUUUAAAGUCAAUUGACACGGGUUCUCAUGGUACGCAUAAAUCCUCUUAUCCAAACCACCACCAUCGAUGAAAUCGCAAAUCGAUCUCGAAGUACGCGGAUUCUUAUGUUUCAACGAUACGUGAAUUAUUGAACUCCGUUACAUAAUAUCGCCAUGUUCUUGACUUUAUGAUAUUUUACGGAAUCUAAAUUUCAAAUUUGAUACGUGAAUCUCUAUCAACAAUCGAUGGCGACAUAUCGUAUAUCUCCUCUGUGCUCUCAAUUUUCUAUUUUAAGUCGGACAUUUUGUACCGCUCGCCGUCACAAGAAAGUAUAAAUAAUUCUCUGACGUAACGCACGCAAUUCCCCUGGGGAUUUUCUACGACUUCUCGCUUACCACCAAGCUCUCUCCCAAGCGUAAUAUAGUUGGUAUUAUUACGCUACUUCGAUUAAAUUUGUCGAUUCCACUCGGAGCUCUGCUGAGUACCUUUAUCAAUUACAAUUGCAUAAUCUUGCCAUCGAGAACUUUACUCUCAGUUGUCAAAAGACAACUUUUAUUGUCCAUCACUCAAAUUCUCGUAUGUUUACUCUACGUGAAUGGAACGAGUCUGACUCAACAUAUGGUUCGCAGACGCGAGGUAAAACGCCACUUUGUUACUCGGUUAAGUAUUACAUCAGUAUCAGACAUCUAGCCUAGUUUGCAUCUAGUCUAGUCUAGUUGACACAUAAAUCUAGACUCACGUGAAACAUUCCUUUGACGGAAAGAAAGUUUUGAAUUUAAAUUUGAUCGAGAUCAGUCACAUUCAAGCAGAAAUGGAC